UGGAUGAUUCUAUCCCUUUCUUUGUCUGACAAUUGUCGCCUGCGAUGGUACAGGGGCAGACUCGUGUCUCACACGGUCACCGAGAAUGGAACGGAAGUACAGAUACAGGGAGGAGACAGGACAAGGACUUUCACGAGGAUUGAGCAUCUGUGACAAAGAAGCAGGAGGAAGGAAGAACCUUGUCUUACAAUCAGCUUGAAGCACAAAGUUAUUAUUUCAUGGAUCUAUAACGAUUCCUCCAAAGAUGCAGAAGGAAAAUACUUUACUGGAAUCUUAAAAUCAGAAAACUACCCAAUCGGCACAUUAUAUAAUUGUCGUCGAAGUGACAAAACAAUUGUACAUUCGAGAUUUCCCCUUUACAUCAUCAUUCUUAUUCAUUUAAUGCAAAUCGUGAGUUGGAGAAAAUCAGCACAGCCAACUCAAAUAAAAUGCAAGAGUUACAGUAAAUGUUUGACGAAGGGAACAUUGUGGCAUUUAAUCUGCACAAUCAGCAUUUGCACUUUAAAGGAAACAGGUUUAGAAUAAUGUAACUCUGCUUACCUGGAUUGCAGUCUGUAAGAAGAGAACAAAUGGAGAGAAGAACUUUGGAGAUCGUCAGUGCUGGGCUCCAGUUAUCCUUCAAAAUA